rnacentral:rRNA from 1 species
UACAGAGGGUGCGAGCGUUGUCCGGAAUCACUGGGCGUAAAGGGCGCGUAGGUGGCGCGACAAGUCAGUGGUGAAAGUUCGACGCUUAACGUCGAAUCGGCCACUGAUACUGUUGGGCUUGAGCACUGUAGAGGCUAAUGGAAUUCCGGGUGUAGCGGUGGGAUGCGUAGAGAUCCGGAAGAACACCGGUGGCGAAGGCGGUUAGCUGGGCAGUUGCUGACACUGAGGCGCGACAGCGUGGGGAGCAAACAGG